GGCAUUGCCCGGUAGCUAAAUGCGGAAGAGAUAAGUGCUGAAAGCAUCUAAGCACGAAACUUGCCCCGAGAUGAGUUCUCCCUGAGACUUUAAGUCUCCUGAAGGAACGUUGAAGACGACGACGUUGAUAGGUCGGGUGUGUAAGUGUAGCGAUACAUUGAGCUAACCGAUACUAAUGAACCGUGAGGCUUAACCUUACAA
rnacentral:rRNA from 1 species